UUAAAUAAAAUGGGACAAGUGACUUUGAGAGUAGAGACCAACAAUUUAAACCAGUACUACACAGAACUGACUCCAGCAAAAUCCAUAAAAUAAGAAAUGUUAAUGAUAGAAUCUCCUUUAAGCCAACAAAACAUAUUCUAAAAACAUCUAAACUUAAAAACAACAUUUAGCUCUUUUCUUCUUUGAAAGCAUUCUUUCUUCCUUCAAGACUUGUUCUCCAUCUAGGUCUAUACAAAUCAGUCAAAGAAGAAAUAUGCUUAGCAGUCGACACAUCCCCAAAUGGAUGGCUAAGUGGUUGAAGCACAAGAGUAAAACCAGGGAAUCUCAGGGUCAAAUCCUAGGUACAACUCAUGCAGCACCUCGUAUAAUUUUGCUAACUUUAAACUCAACUUAAUGUUUGAGUGGCUCUCCAAUUUUGAUGAGUUAUAAAUUGAGAAAAGAGUAGAGACCAACAACUUAAACCAGUACUACACAGAAAUAACUCCGGCAAAAUCCAUAAAAUAAAAAAUGUUAAUGAUAAAAUCUCCUUUAAGCCAACAAAACAUACUUUAAAAACAUCUAAACUUAAAAACAAUAUUUAGCUCUUUUCUUCUUUGAAAGCAUUUUUUCUUCCUUCAGGACUUGUUAUUCUCCAUCUAGGACUAUACAAAUCAGUCAAAGAAGAAAUAUGCUCAGCAGUCAACACAUCCCCCAAUGGAUGGCUAAGUGGUUGAAGCACAAGAGUAAAACCGAGAGAUUCAGGUUCAAAUCCUAGGUACAACUCACGUAGCACCUCGUAUAAUUUUGCUAACUUUAAACUCAACUUAAUGUUUGAGUGGCUCUCCUAUUUUGAUGAGUUACAAAUUCAGAAAAUGAUUUUUUCUCAAUUUGAGAGUAGAGACCAACAACUUAAACCAGUAUUACACAGAACUGACUCCAGCAAAAUCCAUAAAAUAAGAAAUGUUAAUGAUAGAAUCUCCUUUAAGCCAACAAAACAUAUUCUAAAAACAUCUAAACUUAAAAACAACAUUUAGCUCUUUUCUUCUUUGAAAGCAUUCUUUCUUCCUUCAAGACUUGUUCUCCAUCUAGGUCUAUACAAAUCAGUCAAAGAAGAAAUAUGCUUAGCAUCUUUGAAAGUAUUUUUUUCUUCCUUCAAGACUUGUUAUUCUCCAUCUAGAUCUAUACAAAUCAGUAAAAGAAGAAAAAUGCUCAGCAGUCAACACAUCCCCAAAUGGAUGGCUAAGUGGUUGAAGCUGUGAGAAAGCACGAUUAAACAUAAUACAAUGAGCCCUAUAUAUAAUACUAAUAACAUAGAGUUCUACUAU
rnacentral:lncRNA from 1 species